rnacentral:rRNA from 1 species
UGGGGAAUAUUGGACAAUGGGCGCAAGCCUGAUCCAGCCAUGCCGCGUGAGUGAUGAAGGCCCUAGGGUUGUAAAGCUCUUUUGUGCGGGAAGAUAAUGACGGUACCGCAAGAAUAAGCCCCGGCUAACUUCGUGCCAGCAGCCGCGGUAAUACGAAGGGGGCUAGCGUUGCUCGGAAUCACUGGGCGUAAAGCGCACGUAGGCGGACUCUUAAGUCAGAGGUGAAAUCCUGGAGCUCAACUCCAGAACUGCCUUUGAUACUGGGAGUCUCGAGUUCGGGAGAGGUGAGUGGAACUGCGAGUGUAGAGGUGAAAUUCGUAGAUAUUCGCAAGAACACCAGUGGCGAAGGCGGCUCACUGGCCCGAUACUGACGCUGAGGUGCGAAAGCGUGGGGAGCAA